GGAAAGGUGGCCGAGUGGUUUAAGGCAGCGGUCUUGAAAACCGCCAACGGGCAACCGUUCGUGGGUUCGAAUCCCACCCUUUCCGCCA
rnacentral:tRNA from 1 species